rnacentral:rRNA from 1 species
UGGGGAAUAUUGGACAAUGGGCGAAAGCCUGAUCCAGCCAUGCCGCGUGUGUGAAGAAGGUCUUCGGAUUGUAAAGCACUUUAAGUUGGGAGGAAGGGCAGUAAGUUAAUACCUUGCUGUUUUGACGUUACCGACAGAAUAAGCACCGGCUAACUCUGUGCCAGCAGCCGCGGUAAUACAGAGGGUGCAAGCGUUAAUCGGAAUUACUGGGCGUAAAGCGCGCGUAGGUGGUUUGUUAAGUUGGAUGUGAAAGCCCCGGGCUCAACCUGGGAACUGCAUCCAAAACUGGCAAGCUAGAGUACGGUAGAGGGUGGUGGAAUUUCCUGUGUAGCGGUGAAAUGGGUAGAUAUAGGAAGGAACACCAGUGGCGAAGGCGACCACCUGGACUGAUACUGACACUGAGGUGCGAAAGCGUGGGGAGCAAACA